rnacentral:lncRNA from 1 species
CUCUUCACGCCUGCAAAUGUAGCUCUGUUGGCUGCCCCAUAUAUCGAUACCAAGACUCAUAACAAACUUUAAUCAGGUCUAACGUAGCUGUCAAAUACAUGAGGCUACCUACAACUUGUUGUAAAAGUUGAAUCGCACCUUAAAAACCCCAUCUGCAUCUUGCACACUUUGAAACCAGGAACAAUGGGAUGAGCACUGGAGUUUCUCUUCUCCAUUCUGAACCGUUUCAACAACGAGCACAUCCAUUGCAUACGUCCUUUGGCAAAUAUAACUUCCAUCAUCUCUUUGGCAGCACUCAAUACCAAGGAAGUACCUCUCUCCCCAAGAUCACUCAUAUCCACUCAAUGCAUCAAUAUUCUUAAAUUCACAAAUCAUGUCUCAUCAUUCCCCGUAAAAAUAAGAUCAUCAACAUAGAUACUGAUAAUCAAAAUUUUUACCAUCCUUCAUUUACCUUGACAACAAGGUAUGGCUCGCCUGUGACAUUUUUCGAACCCUUCCUUCAAGAAGAAAAAAAAGCCCUUCUAAUAUCUGCUAAACCAGGCUCGUGGAGCUUUGUUUUUUAACCCUCUAAAGCUUUCGCAUCAGCGGUAAAAACCAGGUGUGGACGGUGUGUUAUUCCAUAACCCGCGUGGCCUCUACAAACACGACAGUCCUCAUGAGCGCACCAAGGGAGAAACGCAGUUCACAGCGAGGUUGAGACUUGGCCAGCCCUUUUGUGCAGGCAAUAGCAGAAGCAAGCGGAGAGGGGCCAUUCCUUGCCAACGGGUGCAACACUCUGUGUAAUCGCCUCCAUGCUGUUGUGUAUACCCUUUAGCAACUAGACGACUUUGUACUUGUCCACCUUCCCAUUUUCGUCAAGCUUUGUCUGUAACCCACUUAACAACCAUCUCUUGCUCCAGCAGGUAAGAUAUGGUCAAAAACCAAGUGUCAUUCUCUCAUAGCUCCUAUCCGAUUCCAUAGGCUGCUCUCACUCUCACUCUUUACUGCCAUCUACCCUUCAACACACCGGAUCAGUAGAGGUGAACACAACCAUAUUGCCAUCUUCUUCUCCCGAAAGUCCCUCUCCACUCUCGUAAUCCCUCCAUCCAGGCCUGGCUCUUCUUCUCUGAUGCUUUCUCAUUGGAGCUGGAUCCUUCUUCAUUAGAGCUAUGUGGACUUUGUAUCAUUCACAUGAUUUGGACUGAGUCUCACUUCCUCUGCAACUCAUUAUCUCCUUCACUACUUCUUCAUGACAUCUCUUAUGGCAACUUCUUCGUUUUCACCCCAUUCUAAGUCAACAAUCAUUAACUCUUUGUAACUCUUAUCCAAUCCCAGCCCUUAUCUUCUUCAGAACUUAACAUCUCGGCUCACACCAACUUUCUUUUUGAUAGAGGAUCAUAAAGUCUAUAGGCUUUUGAUUCCUCGCUGACCCCCAACAACACGCACUAAAACUCCUUUGUCUUCCAACUUCUUUCUCUUGGCAUCUGGUAUACGUGUAACUGUGAAACACAAACAUCCAAAAACUUUCGAAAUGCUCACUGAAGGCUUAUUCCGCUCACCAAGCCCUCCUCCGUAGUCAUAUCUUUUACUAGGUCCAAGGUAGGACUGGCGAUUUAGGACAUGAACAGUCAAUUCACAAGCUUCAGGCCAAAGUUCUUUGGAUCUUUUCUCCGAAAGCAACUCCGCACCAUAUUCAUACCGUCCUAUUCUUCCUUUCCUGCAACUCCAUUUGUUUGGAGUGUAUGCCGGCCGUUAGUUGCCUCUUGAUCCCAUUCUCUUUACCGCACUGAUUAAAUUCAUUCUGUGAGUGAACUCCCCUCCUUGAUCAGUACGUAAACAACUUGAUGUAAUUCCCCUUUUUUCUUUCUCAACAAGACUCUUGAAGUAUUAAAAGUGAUGAAUGCAAUCUGACUUCUCAACCAAAAAGUAUACUCCAUUUUUCGAGUAAAUCAUCAAUGAAACAUAUUGUGAAUACCUCUUGUUGCUAUUUGAUAUGGAGUGAAUCGGACCACACAAGUCUGCAAUGGAUCAUUGGAGUUUCUGUGUUGCCCUCCCAUUGCUCUUCUUUGGAAUAGGGUCUCGGUGUUGCUUUCCUACCAUGCAUGCUGUACAUACUAUUGUGGAGGCAGAGAAUUGCGGCAGUCCAUGCACCAUUUUCUUGUCUUGAUGAAGAGUUCCGUCAGACGGCCUUGUAGCUUAGAUGACCGAACUGCAGUGCCACAAUGGGACCAUCCUGAGAGGUUGUAUGAAACAACUGCCUUUCUUGGUUGAGACCUAGCCACCAGAAAGAACAUUCUAUUUAUCUGACAUCUCGUUUGGGGUAUCAUCAAGCCCUUCAUUGGAUGUUAGAUCCGCCCAAACCAACGUGAUUAAGAUUGAUACCCUUUCUCCUGCAGCUGACCGAUACUCAACAAGUUGUUCCUUAACUCCGAACAUAAACACCCUCGGUAAAACCACUGCACAGAACCACUCACCAUCAGGCCUCACAUUCCCUUUUCCCCUCAUGACAUCUUCGAAUUAUUUCCAAUUCACUAUCUGCUGCCCGAACCCUUCGUUUAGAUCUCUAACAAGGUUUGUCCUCCAACACAUUUGUGGUUGCUGCCAUCCUGAAUCUAAAACCACACUCUUCUCUUCUUUCUUCAUUCAACUCACGUAUGACAUUACAACAUUCUUCUUCUCAAACCGAACCCUUCGUUGAAUCGCUAAACAAGGUUUUGUCUCCACACAUGUGUGCUGCAUCCUGAAUCGAGAAACCACACUCUCUCUUCUUUCUUCAUUCAGCUCAACGUAUGACAUAGGCAACAUUUCUUCAUUCUCCCCGACUCCAGCAUAAUUGCUCCCAGCUAGGACACUCUCAUAUUGGAAGUGUCCGGCUUAUGGCACUUGUACAUUCAACAACAUGGAUUUGUCGAAGAUGCUGACCCCUCUACUACCGUCUAACCUCUUCCUCUAAAUGAUCCUCGGCCUCCUCGGCCUCGCCUCUCCCUCAUCUUGUCCUCAUGAGUUACUUUAAGGCUUGUUCUUCCCCUGAUGCUUAUAUAACUUCUGCUCGUGAACAAUUAGAGAGCUUGCAACUCAUCGAUGGAAUAGACGGUCAAUACCUUCGGCUCCUCAAUAGAACAAACAAUGUAAUUAAAUUUGUCUGUUAAGGAGACGAAGUAUUUUCUCUACAAUAGUAACAUCCACCAUUCGCGUCACCAGCACCCUCAUUUUGUUAGCCACUACCAUUACCCUUGAAAAAUAUUAGAAACUUUUCUCACCAGAUUUCAUCUCCAAGGUUUCAAACUCCUUCGAAGAGCUUGAAGAACUGAUCGCAUCACUCGUGCAUUCCCCUCAUAUGUUUUUUUUCAUUGAGUCCCAAAUCUGCUUUGAGGUGUUCCUUUGAAGAAUGGUUUCCAAAAUGGUUCGGUCAAUGGCCUGGACCAAAUAAUUCUUUACCUUCGAUCCGUCAACUUCACUCGUCAACCUCUUGCUGCGCUUCUGUCCACCGCCUCUCCAUCCUCCUUUAUCAGCAUAUCCAAUCUCCACCAAGCUCCCAGUACUCUUUAUUUAGACCUUAGAAAAUUUUCCAAUUAGCAUACUCCAAUGGUCUAAUGACCAUCGAAUCGAGAAUUUGCAGGUUGCAUUGCACAAAUUCCUUCCUCGACCUAUCUUUCUCUCUCUGUUUGGAAGUUUACUACUCAAAGUCUACUACUUUUUCCUUCUCAGGCCCAGUGGGGGCUCUGAUAACCAAAUGUUGAGACUACGAACUCACAAGUAAAACUUAUGAACUGAGCACAGCAAAACAAUCUGGGAAUAACUUCUUAUUGAAUAAACAACUGGGGCUAUUACAUAGCGCUUUACAAACAUCACAGAAGCACAAUCAGCCCAGUUCAUGCUAACUAAAAUCGUGGUAAUCAACAGAAGACUAGGUCAAGCAACAACCUACUUCCCUAUUCAAUAGGGAUAUUCAAACAUAAAGAUAAAGACUCUAACUGAACACCUAAUGAUCUUUGACAAAAAGACUACCUUGGUACCAAAGUAUUCACGUGUGCCUCGCCCCAGAGGUUUUGGGUUUGGCGGGGCCCGGUGGUGGCAAGCGCUCUGGAUGGAAAUCCAGUGAUUGCUCAAGGCACACUUGUUGUUAUAACUUUCUCCUCAAAGCCCAAAUUUAGAUGUAGGUUUAAAAGCCCAUGAUUUUGUUUCGGCCUCGUUGACAUAUUUAAAUGGGCCUCUAAGUCCUAGUGAUUGAGCAGUCACUCCAAGAGGAACAAGUCAGUCUAUUGGUUAUAAUUACCUUCUAAAAAAGAAAUACCAUAAUUACAUUUGCAUAAAUAACAUAUACCUCGCCUGAGGUUUGUGAUUAAGGCAGAUUCCCCCCUGAUGUCCUGAAAAUUACAUUUGCAUCCGUGUCAGAAUUUGUCUUUUUAACAGCCUGAAAAAAACUGCAAUACUAAAUUACCUCCCUUAUUCCUCUUCUCUCGCUCAUGUUCCUCACCCAACUCAAUAAUAUCUCAACACUCACCUUUUUCCUUUUCCUCUUCUGUGAGUUAUGAAGGGGAAAAUUUUGGGUGGCUGGGUUAGAGUGAACAUUCGAUUAGCAACAGAAAAAGCUUAGAGAAUGUAUUAGGGUAAAAUUUCAUGUGAAUAAUUUCACUAGGGUUAGUUCAUCAUAUUCUAUUAAGUUAUUUAAAGCUUGACUACGGAGGUGCCUAAUGUGAUUAAUUUUAAACUUCGGAAGGGGAUAUGUAAUUUCAGGACUCAGGGGAAAUCUGCUGCCUUAACCACAACCUCAGGGACGUAUGUGUAUUUUACCUCUUUUAUUGUCCUUCUGAUGCUUCUUAUCUAUUGCCAGUUUCACAUUUAUUUAAAAAAUGUUGGUAAUGAUAUCGGAAAGUUAUCAAAGAAUUACAAAUUAGUCUUAUAUUAUUUGUAGAGUCUUUUGUUUUUAAUUUUAAGAUUUGGGCGAGUCUUGCCAAUAAUUUUUUAAAAGUCAUGAAAAAUUAAGGGUAUUUUAUAAAUUAUAAGGAAGGAAAUUGUAU